UACAGAGGUCCCAAGCGUUGUUCGGAUUCACUGGGCGUAAAGGGUGCGUAGGUGGCCAGGUAAGUCUGAUGUGAAAUCUCGGAGCUUAACUCCGAAACUGCAUUGGAUACUAUCUGGCUAGAGGGUCGGAGGGGAGACUGGAAUUCUCGGUGUAGCAGUGAAAUGCGUAGAUAUCUGGAGGAACACCGGUGGCGAAGGCGGCAUCCUGGACCGACACUGACACUGAGGAGCGAAAGCCAGGGGAGCAAACGGG
rnacentral:rRNA from 1 species